CAGCAGCCGCGGUAAUACGGAGGGUGCAAGCGUUACUCGGAAUCACUGGGCGUAAAGCGCGCGCAGGCGGCUAUUUAAGUUGGAUGUGAAAGCCUACGGCUCAACCGUAGAACUGCAUCCAAAACUAUUUAGCUAGAGUGUGGGAGAGGAAGAUGGAAUUAGUUGUGUAGGGGUAAAAUCCGUAGAGAUAACUAGGAAUACCAAAAGCGAAGGCAAUCUUCUGGAACAUUACUGACGCUGAGGCGCGAAAGCGUGGGGAGCAAACAGGAUUAGAUACCCUGGUAGUCCACGCCCUAAACGAUGAAUGUUAGUCGUCGGGUAGCUAGUCUAUUCGGUGAUGCAGCUAACGCAUUAAACAUUCCGCCUGGGGAGUACGGUCGCAAGAUUAAAACUCAAAGGAAUAGACGGGGACCCGCACAAGUGGUGGAGCAUGUGGUUUAAUUCGAAGAUACGCGAAGAACCUUACCUAGCCUUGACAUAUAUUAGAACACUUUAGAGAUAGAGUAGUGCCUUCGGGAGCUUUUAUACAGGUGCUGCACGGCUGUCGUCAGCUCGUGUCGUGAGAUGUUGGGUUAAGUCCCGCAACGAGCGCAACCCUCGUCACUAGUUACUAACGGUUCGGCCGAGGACUCUAGUGAGACUGCCUUCGCAAGGAGGAGGAAGGUGAGGACGACGUCAAGUCAUCAUGGCCCUUACGGCCAGGGCAACACACGUGCUACAAUGGCCAGGACAAUGAGACGCGAUACCGCGAGGUGGAGCAAAUCUAUAAACCUGGUCUCAGUUCGGAUUGUUCUCUGCAACUCGAGAACAUGAAGCUGGAAUCA
rnacentral:rRNA from 1 species